AGCUUGCUCUGGAUUCAGCGGCGGACGGGUGAGUAAUGCCUAGGAUCUGCCUGGUAGUGGGGGACAACGUUUCGAAAGGAACGCUAAUACCGCAUACGUCCUGACGGAGAAAGCAGGGGACCUUCGGGCCUCGCGCUAUCAGAUGAGCCUAGAUCGGAUUAGCUAGUAGGUGAGGUAAUGGCUCACCUAGGCGACGAUCCGUAGCUGGUCUGAGAGGAUGAUCAGUCACACUGGAACUGAGACACGGUCCAGACUCCUACGGGAGGCAGCAGUGGGGAAUAUUGCACAAUGGGCGCAAGCCUGAUCCAGCCAUGCCGCGUGUGUGAAGAAGGUCUUCGGAUUGUAAAGCACUUUAAGUUGGGAGGAAGGGCAGUAAAUUAAUACUCUGCUGUUUUGACGUUACCCGCAGAAUAAGCACCGGCUAACUCUGUGCCAGCAGCCGCGGUAAUACAGAGGGUGCAAGCGUUAAUCGGAAUUACUGGGCGUAAAGCGCGCGCAGGYGGUCUGUUAAGUCAGAUGUGAAAUCCCCCGGGCUCAACCUGGGAACUGCAUUCAAAACUGGCAAGCUAGAGUAUUGUAGAGGGGGGUGGAAUUUCAGGUGUAGCGGUGAAAUGCGUAGAGAUACGAAGGAACACCAGUGGCGAAGGCGACCACCUGGACAAAUACUGACGCUCAGGUGCGAAAGCGUGGGGAGCAAACAGGAUUAGAUACCCUGGUAGUCCACGCCGUAAACGAUGUCAACUUGGCGGUUGUACCCUUGAGCUCUUACUUCCGCAGCUAACGCAUUUUUAGGCCUAACACAUGCAAGUCGGACGGUAGCACAGAGAGCUUGCUCUUGGGUGACGAGUGGCGGACGGGUGAGUAAUGUCUGGGGAUCUGCCCGAUAGAGGGGGAUAACCACUGGAAACGGUGGCUAAUACCGCAUAACGUCGCAAGACCAAAGAGGGGGACCUUCGGGCCUCUCACUAUCGGAUGAACCCAGAUGGGAUUAGCUAGUAGGCGGGGUAAGUCCCGCAACGAGAGACCGUAACUGGUCUGAGAGGAUGAUCGGUCAGACUGGAACUGAGACACGGUCCAGACUCCUACGGGAGGCAGCAGUGGGGAAUAUUGGACAAUGGGCGAAAGCCUGAUCCAGCCAUGCCGCGUGUGUGAAGAAGGUCUUCGGAUUGUAAAGCACUUUAAGUUGGGAGGAAGGGCAGUAAAUUAAUACUUUGCUGUUUUGACGUUACCGACAGAAUAAGCACCGGCUAACUCUGUGCCAGCAGCCGCGGUAAUACAGAGGGUGCGUAGCGUUAAUCGGAAUUACUGGGCGUAAAGCGCGCGUAGGUGGUUUGUUAAGUUGGAUGUGAAAUCCCCGGGCUCAACCUGGGAACUGCUUUCAAAACUGACAGAGCUAGAUUAUGGUAGAGGGUGGUGGAAUUUCCUGUGUAGCGGUGAAAUGCGUAGAUAUAGGAAGGAACACCAGUGGCGAAGGCGACCACCUGGACUGAUACUGACACUGAGGUGCGAAAGCGUGGGGAGCAAACAGGAUUAUAUACCCUGCUAGUCCACGCCGUAAACGAUGACAACUAGCCGUUGGUAGCCUUGAGCUCUUACUGCCGCAGCU
rnacentral:rRNA from 1 species